GCCAUAUCACAUCGUGUUUCUCACUGGGGUCUUGGAACCUGUGGAUCUUAGUCCCUACACAGUCCCUCUGAGGCAUGCUCAAAUGCCCUGCCAGCAAGCUAGAACCAGACUCAGGGUUAGGUCAGAGCGCAUGCCCUUAGCCUCACCUCCCACCUGUCAGUGAGGAUGGCUCCUGUGUUCUGAAAGCUACUCUCUGUGUGAGACCAUGUGAGAGCUGAGUUAGGGUGGUUGGAGUGGCCUUGGUACAGCAUGCAGCCCUGUUAGUCUCUGCCUCUGGCCUCUGGUGGAAGCAAGCUGGUUUGAGACCCUGGCAGAGCAGGGAAGAGGUUCUCUCUGGUCCAUUUCCUUCUAAAACCCUGGAGGAGAUUGCUGCUGUGUCCCUUUCAGUGCUGGGCCCAGACACUGC
rnacentral:lncRNA from 1 species